GAUGAAGAACGUAGUGAAAUGCGAUACGUAAUGUGAAUUGCAGAAUUCAGUGAAUCAUCGAAUCUUUGAACGCACAUUGCGCCCCUUGGUAUUCCGAGGGGCAUGCCUGUUCGAGCGUCAUUAUAACCCCUCAAGCUCAGCUUGGUGUUGGGGCCUGCUGCACUGGCAGCCCUUAAAAUCAGUGGCGGCGCCAUCUGGCUCUAAGCGUAGUAAUUCUUCUCGCUAUGGAGUCCUGGUGGAUGCUUGCCAUCAACCCCCAAUUUUUCUAUGGUUGACCUCGGAUCAGGUAGGGAUACCCGCUGAACUUAAGCAUAUCAAUAAGCGGAGGA
rnacentral:misc_RNA from 1 species